rnacentral:rRNA from 1 species
UACGUAGGGGGCGAGCGUUGUCCGGAAUCAUUGGGCGUAAAGCGCGUGUAGGCGGCUUGGUAAGUCCGGUGUGAAACCUUGGGGCUCAACCCCAAGCCUGCACUGGAUACUGCCUCGCUUGAGUCCGGGAGGGGAGAGCGGAAUUCCUAGUGUAGCGGUGAAAUGCGCAGAUAUCAGGAAGAACACCCGUGGCGAAGGCGGCUCUCUGGUACGUGACUGACGCUGAGACGCGAAAGCGUGGGGAGCGAACAGG